rnacentral:tRNA from 1 species
ACGGCAUCGCUCGUAUUUACGGUCUUGAUGAAGUAAUGGCGGGUGAAUUAGUAGAAUUUGAAGAGGGUACAA